rnacentral:rRNA from 1 species
UACGGAGGGUGCAAGCGUUACUCGGAAUUACUGGGCGUAAAGGGUGCGUGGGCGGUUCGUUAAGUCUGUCGUGAAAUCCCCGGGCUCAACCUGGGAAUGGCGAUGGAUACUGGCGAGCUAGAGUGUGUCAGAGGAUGGUGGAAUUCCCGGUGUAGCGGUGAAAUGCGUAGAGAUCGGGAGGAACAUCAGUGGCGAAGGCGGCCAUCUGGGACAACACUGACGCUGAAGCACGAAAGCGUGGGGAGCAAACAGG